UACGUAGGGUGCAAGCGUUGUCCGGAAUUAUUGGGCGUAAAGAGCUCGUAGGCGGUCUGUCGCGUCGGAUGUGAAAACCCAGGGCUCAACCCCGGGCCUGCAUUCGAUACGGGCAGACUAGAGUUCGGUAGGGGAGACUGGAAUUCCUGGUGUAGCGGUGAAAUGCGCAGAUAUCUGGAGGAAUACCGGUGGCGAAGGCGGCAUCCUGGACCGACAUUGACGCUGAUGAGCGAAAGCUAGGGGAGCAAACGGG
rnacentral:rRNA from 1 species